rnacentral:rRNA from 1 species
AGGUAGCUUGCUACCAGGCGUCGAGCGGCGGACGGGUGAGUAAUGCUUAGGAAUCUACCGAGUAGUGGGGGAUAGCCAUUGGAAACGAUGAUUAAUACCGCAUAUAUCCUACGGGGGAAAGCAGGGGACCUUCGGGCCUUGCGCUAUUCGAUGAGCCUGAGUGAGAUUAGCUAGUUGGUGGGGUAAAGGCCUACCAAGGCGACGAUCUCUAGCUGGUCUGAGAGGAUGAUCAGCCACACUGGAACUGAGACACGGUCCAGACUCCUACGGGAGGCAGCAGUGGGGAAUAUUGCACAAUGGACGAAAGUCUGAUGCAGCCAUGCCGCGUGUGUGAAGAAGGCCUUCGGGUUGUAAAGCACUUUCAGCGAGGAGGAAAGGUUAGUAAGUAAUAUUUGCUAGCUGUGACGUUACUCGCAGA